AGCAGUCGCCGCGGUAAUACGUAGGGUGCAAGCGUUAAUCGGAAUUACUGGGCGUAAAGCGUGCGCAGGCGGUUCUAUAAGACAGAUGUGAAAUCCCCGGGCUCAACCUGGGAACUGCAUUUGUGACUGUAGAGCUGGAGUGCGGCAGAGGGGGAUGGAAUUCCGCGUGUAGCAGUGAAAUGCGUAGAUAUGCGGAGGAACACCGAUGGCGAAGGCAAUCCCCUGGGCCUGCACUGACGCUCAUGCACGAAAGCGUGGGGAGCAAACAGGAUUAGAUACCCCCGUAGUCCCUGUCUCUUAUAC
rnacentral:rRNA from 1 species